AUGGCAGAAGAAGGUCAGUACUUGGCUGGCAGGGGUGUUUGUUUGUUUUUUGGCAUGAACAGUGUUUUUUUUUUUCUCUCUCUCUCUCUCUUUUACUUUCCUUGCUUACUUGCUAUUUUUAUUUUUUCAGCUGAACCCACAUCUAAAAAAGAAUUCUUUGCAGUAUCAAGGAAAGAACAAAUAAGCAAUCAAACAAAUGAAUACAUUGGAAGUCACAGCAUCACAUUUAAUGCUAAAAAGAGAAAAGUAGAAUAUGUUGUUUGUUUUUGCAAGCCACCACACAAUCCCAAAUAUUGCAACACAAAAAGAUGACAAAGAGAAGACUGCUCUGGAUUCCUUUUUUUUCUCCAGAAGGUUAUUUUAAUGGUUUAGAAGGAAAACAUAUGCAUACUAACUGCACUGAAGCUAACUGUUCAAGUUCUCCUAG
rnacentral:lncRNA from 1 species